UUGCAUUGCAUGUGGGUGCUCUCCUAAAGAGUUCUCCCCAGGCCUUCCCCAGCCAGGAUCUUUAUGCUCAUGGUUUCUGGUCCCCGUGAGCAAGCACCUCUGGCAGGUUCAGCCCUGGGAUGGCACUUCUUGCUUUGUGACAAAUAAUGGAGAGGGUUUUGUGGUGCUACAGGGCAUCAGAAUUAAACCUCAUCUGGAAGAACACACACUGCACUGCACCCUCCAUCAACUACUGCAGGAGAGAUCACUGGUGUUUCUAGAGAGGGUUAAAAAAAUCCUCGCAGAAUAUUUCACUGUCUAUCUCAGCUGAUUGGUUUUACGAGCAGCAGACAGCUGUUGUUAGCAGGUCAUGUGUAAAACUAAAACCUUCUUCACCUCCUCACACACAUCCUUGGGGAAGUUAGAACAGAACAAUCAGGUGAAAUGCCAGGAAAAUAUCAAUAACAGUUCCAAGGAGAGGAGCAGAGGCUACAACCUGUCCUAUGCAAUCACCUUUGGGUUCCUUUGUGAGGACAGAAAUGUGUCACGUUCAGUCUUGGAAUCAUAGAACAUUUGUACAGAUGAUGCUGCUCGUGGAGACACAAAAAUCUAUUAAAACACCUCCAGUGCAUCAGUAAAAGGUCCUCUCCAAGUGACAACUCACAAGAAGGAGAAAAGAGACAUCAUUUAGGAGUUGAACUAGAUGACCUCCAGAGGUCCGUUCCAACCUCAACCAUUCCACAUUUCUGUGAUUAGAAGAGAUUUUAUCUAUCCACUUAGCUGUGGUUGCUACUCUGGUAGCUUUUGAGGAAGCCUUCUCAAGGUUUGUCCCACCUGGAACAUGUUGAAACAGCACAACCAGAGAGAUGAAAGUUGCCAAAAUCCCAAUGGUCAAAAAAAAAAAAAAAAAAAGGGAGAUUUAGCUGCAGUUUAUGGAAACAGGCAUAAUUGUUAGGGUUCAGAGCUGGCACUGAGCAGAGGAGCUGGCUUCCAACUCAGGAGGUCACUCAAGCUCUGGGUUUGGACUGUCCAGUUUUCUCUGAGAAAUCAUGCCCAAAUGUUUCUGUGUGGUGCCAAAACCAGAAAGUAUGUAAGUCUUCUCACUGUAAAAAAUCAAGCAAUUAUUACAGGAUCUGGAUAAUCUCCACAUGCAUGCAAUAGGAGAAGUUUAAGGAAAGUUUUUUGGAAAGAGAAAAUUUUGUCUCAUUAAAUUUGGUGGCAAAAAAAUUCCAAAUUUCAAGCAUGAUUUCACCCUGUAUUAUACUCUCACCAUUGUGGAGAUUUUUGGUUAUAGAUAAGGAUCAGCCAGGGUUUAUAACAAAGUUUAUUUUGUAGUAAGUCUGUAGCAGCAAUUAAAGUUCCAAAACAGUUUUCACAUACUAGUAAUUUAAAGAAAAGUACAUCUCUGAAGAUGUAAUUUUCCAUUUUAAUCUCCAUCCAAAGAUAUUCUUUAACUUUGGACAAAUUCCUGUCAAACAGUUUGAGUUAUAAUUGUAUGAAAAAAGAUACUUUGCCAGAUGUAAGAAAAAGAUGACUGCUGACUUUUUUUUUUUUUUUUUCUACAAGAUAAGCCAUGAGUGCUGACCUCUGAAGAACAGUAUAUAAAUAAUCACUCAGGAACUUGUUCAUAAAUGGACAAGAAAAGUAAAGUGGAAAAAAAGCUUACAUUAUUAAGCCUGAAUGGCGGGUAAUAAGAAUGAACAACAGAAAAAUGGCAAUGAGAUAUUUAAAUUCUUUUUGAUUCUCAACCUUCUGCCUAAACCAUACCUGAGACAGUAAAGAUAGUACAUAUGGAACUGGGGCACCACAUAGGUAUCAGAGCAUGGGUUAUUUCAACUUCCAGUGUAAAAGACUGUGACUAAAUUCAAUAUCACAAAUGUUUCUUGGAAUUGCAUCAAUCAACUUAAAAACAUAUAUUAAUUACUCCAUUGCAAGGCAAAUUUGGAAGCAAGUAAUUAUAUAGAAUGGUUCUGAAUGAAGAAUUAAUUUACUUAUUUACUAAUAAAGAAUUGGUUUACUUGUAUAUAAGUUGUCCCAGGAAUAGAAUCCUGGGGCAUCAUGAGAGAAGUGACAGAGUAACUGGACACCUUAUCUUGUAGAGGUCUUUGUAAGAUGCUCAGUGUACUGAGUGAAAGAAAUCAUUGAUCCAAGGUUCAUCCAGCUGUGUUUGCCAUCCUGACUACUCAUCACAAAAAUUUGUCGGAUUUAUGCAGAGCAAAAAACACAGGCAUAAUUCCCCACAAGUCCCCAGAGGUGUUUUUCAGUAUGGUAAGUUAUAUAUGGAAGAUACAUCAAUGUUUCCUUGAUGUCUUGAUGCCUUGAUGACAGCACAAAAUCCUCAAAUAAGUAGCUAUAAUACAAUACAAUGGUCUAACUGUGUAUUUUUUAUAAUGUGCCAUAAACUUUUCAUUAUCUACAAUGUAUGCAAA